AGCAGUUUUCAGCUUGGGCCCCAUCACUAGAGUCUUAAAACUUUUAUUUUGAGCUACAAUUUAGAAUACUCCUAUGAACAAAACGUGGAGCAUACUUUAUCCUGUCUGCCUGAUUUCUCCAGAAUUUGGAAACUAUUUGUGGAUAUUCUUAACUUGUGGCAAUACAGUUAUUUGCAUAAGUGCAAUAAGAAUCUGUUUUCACUUGUAACAGGACACAAUUGGAGAAACUGGUUAUUUUACCAAGGCUUUUACUGGAAUGGUGUGCUUUCCUUUAAGGAAUCAAACUUGGCUUAUGAAACCAAUAAUGUCCUUGGAAAAACUGACCUCAUAUUUUGUGUACAGAGUCCCUGUACAGGGUUUCUGACCUGUGGUAAGUAAAGAAUGUCACUUUCUGACAGGCCCAGAAGCUCCAAGUUUAUCUUGGAACCUCGAGUGGCGAGGAGAUUCACCCAACUCAUAGGUACUUGAUGGCACAAAUCUACGGCUGGGCUCGGCUUUUAAAAAGUCUUAUCUGACAUUCCUUCUAUGGAACAAAGUUCCACCAAAGGCAAUUUAAAAGCCUAUGUAAAAAAUAACUAUUCUUGGUGCACUGUAUACAAAUAAUUUGGCAAAGUAAAAUAAAGCAAACUAGUCCUAACAUGAUUUGUCUUUAGCAAAAAUGGGAAAUUUUAUGUCCUAAUUAAUCCUUUAGUUAGGAUUAGAGAAGAGAGAAAAAUUAUGUUUCCAAAACUAGGGUACACCUGUUGUUAGAUUCUAGUCUUGCCCAGUGUUUUUCAAUUUUUAUUAUUUUCUACAGUUUGGACCAAAUUCUAUUUUUUCUUGGCUACAAGCCUUCAAAAUAAUGUUUUCAAUUUUUUUCUUUUUUUUCCCCCAUAUUUCCUAAUUUGGAGUCACUGAAAACUAAGCUGUGCUUUCUUAAAGUCCGGCAAACUGAAGCCAGUCAACUUAAACUUUAGAAGAAAGUAACUGCAGCCUAUUUACAUACAUAAGCCACUUUUCAUACCUGCCUACUGAUGUACGGACUUCAAAGUAACAUGGCCUAUAUGAAUAUUUCCAGUAUUGUUCUUUUUUUUGCUGUUGUUUUUCUCCCUUCCUCCCACUAUUUUCUCUUCAUAGAACAUGAGACUUUGCAAUCUGCUAAAAAUAAGCUUUUGGGACCUACCCAUCUAGUAAUAAACCAUCCUAACCAUGAGAAAUCAGAUGAAAACUGAGACCAGAGACUCAUAUUCUCCUAAAAUGCUUUCUCCUAAAGAUUUUUUUUUUAAAGGGAGCAGGGGAAUGGGAAAGGAAAUUAUCUUGGGCUCUGUCAAACUGGGAGCUGCCUCCCAUUCUAUUUAAAGUUAUUCCUUUGCUCACUGAGAUGAAUGCCUAUUCUGAUUGCCUCCUUUGGAAAGGUCAAUCAGAAACUCAAAAAAAAUGCAACCAUUUGUCUCUCACCUACCUAUGACCUUGAAGCCUCCUCCCUGCUUCAAGUUGUCCCCACCUUUCUGGAUAAAACCAAUGUAUGUCUUAGAUAUAUUAAUUGAUGUCUCAUGUCUUCCUAAAAUGUAUAAAACCAAGUUGUGCCCUGACUACCCCGGACUACCUCAGGACUUCCUGAGGCUGUGUCAUGGGUGCCUGUUCUUAACUUUGGCAAAUAAACUUUCUAAAAUGAUUGAGACUUGUCUCACCGUUUUUCUCAAUUGACAUUCAUUGCUUAAGACCUCUA
rnacentral:lncRNA from 10 species